rnacentral:rRNA from 1 species
UACAGAGGUCCCAAGCGUUGUUCGGAUUCAUUGGGCGUAAAGGGUGCGUAGGUGGCGUGGUAAGUCGGGUGUGAAAUUUCGAAGCUUAACUUCGAAACUGCAUUCGAUACUGCCGUGCUUGAGGACUGGAGAGGAGACUGGAAUUUACGGUGUAGCAGUGAAAUGCGUAGAGAUCGUAAGGAAGACCAGUGGCGAAGGCGGGUCUCUGGACAGUUCCUGACACUGAGGCACGAAGGCCAGGGGAGCAAACGGG